UAGGGAAUCUUCGGCAAUGGACGGAAGUCUGACCGAGCAACGCCGCGUGAGUGAAGAAGGUUUUCGGAUCGUAAAGCUCUGUUGUUAGAGAAGAACGUUGGUAGGAGUGGAAAAUCUACCAAGUGACGGUAACUAACCAGAAAGGGACGGCUAACUACGUGCCAGCAGCCGCGGUAAUACGUAGGUCCCGAGCGUUGUCCGGAUUUAUUGGGCGUAUAGCGAGCGCAGGCGGUUCUUUAAGUCUGAAGUUAAAGGCAGUGGCUUAACCAUUGUACGCUUUGGAAACUGGAGGACUUGAGUGCAGAAGGGGAGAGUGGAAUUCCAUGUGUAGCGGUGAAAUGCGUAGAUAUAUGGAGGAACACCGGUGGCGAAAGCGGCUCUCUGGUCUGUAACUGACGCUGAGGCUCGAAAGCGUGGGGAGCAAACAGG
rnacentral:rRNA from 1 species